rnacentral:other from 1 species
AUCCUGAGAUGUUCGAAAUGAUCCCUAUUAUUUUGAACCUACAUCAUAAAAACGGGAGUUCGGGUUUUAAAAUGGAUGUUAGGCCAUCUUCGAAUGGAAGACAGAAGUUUUAAAUAGAACACCCACCUAGUUAAGGCUAGGUUGUCAAAAUUAUAGGGGACGGCAUUUUGGGUA